GUGCGCAUGCGGCCGAGUGCGGGACUGGGGCUCCUGGCUGUGGGUGUGGUACCGAGGCUUCAGCGGGUGCCGCCCGCCUAGAGGGAGUGGAGCGGUGAGCACGUCAGGGGUGGGGGGCGCAGGUCAAGCUUUCACCAGUUUUUAAUUCUUUGAUGGGGUAAAUUUGAGCAAUUUUCUCGACUUGUCGACAUUCGUUAUUAACUGAGCAGGAAUCAGGAGAGGAACCCGGUCCUCUCCACACAGCCCAGCAGAGAGCCUACGACUAGAUUUGCAUCUUUACGUCCUGCGCGGAGGCUGCUACACACAUGCAGAAGUCAUGCUGGUGGCCUGGACAGUGAAGGGAGAGAAGUGGAUUUGGGAGACAUUUAGGAGGACCCACCCGAGGGUGGGUCACCAUGGCUUUGGAGCACCUGGUAGUGUGGCGUGUCCACAGUGAAGACCAGAGUUUCAUUGUCCUUAAGACUGACCUGGGAGACGUGGCUGCAGGCCAUUGAGGAAGAUGGCACCAAAAGCGAAGGAAGCUCCUGCUCAUCCUAAAGCCGAAGCCAAAGCGAAGGCUUUAAAGGCCAAGAAGGCAGUGUUGAAAGGUGUCCGCAGCCACACGCAAAAAAGAAGAUCCGCAUGUCACUCACCUUCAGGCGGCCCAAGACACUGCGACUCCGGAGGCAGCCCAGAUAUCCUCGGAAGAGCACCCCCAGGAGAAACAAGCUUGGCCACUAUGCUAUCAUCAAGUUUCCGCUGGCCACUGAGUCGGCCGUGAAGAAGAUAGAAGAAAACAACACGCUUGUGUUCACUGUGGAUGUUAAAGCCAACAAGCACCAGAUCAGACAGGCUGUGAAGAAGCUCUAUGACAGUGAUGUGGCCAAGGUCACCACCCUGAUUUGUCCUGAUAAGGAGAACAAGGCAUAUGUUCGACUUGCUCCUGAUUAUGAUGCUUUCGAUGUUGUAACAAAAUUGGGAUCACCUAAACUGAGUCCAGCUGGCUAACUCUAAAUAUAUGUGUAUCUUUUCAGCAUAAAAAAA
ensembl:lncRNA RPL23AP7 ribosomal protein L23a pseudogene 7